GUCUCCUCUCUUCAAUCAGUGAAACUGACCUCCCUGUGAAGAGGCAGGGAUACUACUAUNNNNNNAGAAGACCCCAUGGAGCUUUAAACCCAACAACAGCCCAAACACCCACCCCCUCAAAGUUUUAAAGUUUUGUUAGUUGGUUUUAGGUUGGGGUGACCGCGGAGUAUAAACUACCCUCCACGACGAANGGGCCUACCCCCUUACCCAAGAAUUACACCUCUAAGGAUUAACACAUUAACGUAAAAUGAUCCAAAUAAUUGAUCAACGAACCAAGUUACCCUGGGGAUAACAGCGCAAUCCAUUUUUAGAGCCCCUAUCGACAAAUGGGUUUACGACCUCGAUGUUGGAUCAGGGUAUCCC
rnacentral:rRNA from 1 species